ensembl:lncRNA
AUGGGCUAUGGCCGGGAAGAGGUCAGGGAGCAAGGGGGCCACGGGGAUCCGGGGCGUGGGACUCAGGCCCCGGCCUGAGUCUUAGGUAUCCGUAGCGCCCUCCUUCUUCCUCCUCUUCGCUGAUUGCAGCUCACAGUAAGUACUGGUUCACACAGUUCGUUCUCUGGGUGCUCACUCUCUUUCUCUUUCUCCACAGGCAUCAACUUGGGCACACUAGCACAGUUAGUUUGCUUUGAAUGGCUCUCACCUCUGGGCUGGACACAGCGUACUGUAAGUACAGGGUUCGCUCUAUUCCUCCUCGUGUUAUUCACUCUCUCUCCUUUUCUCUCCACAGGCAUCAACUUGGGCACAAUAGCACAGUUACUCUGCUUUGGAUGGCUUUCACCUCUGGGCUGGACACAGCGUACUGUGCUAUCUCCGGAGAUCUGAAGCACGCGCACAAC